ensembl:lncRNA
GGAGCAUUUAGCAUAUCGUCUCAGGGGCCUGUGGUUCGGAGGGGGCAGAAAAGAGCAGUACAUCAUCCUGUCUUGUCAGCUUCUUUCUUCCUCUCUCUCUGACCAUGUGUCUGUCCUCUGCUCUUAGACCCAGCUGAGCCGAGUGGAUCGAUGGCAGGUCGACCGAGCCCAGACACUGUGUGUGUGCACUUGAGUGCUGACGCUGUGACAUCAGAGGACACCCACCCCAGUGCAGUCCUCCUCUGGGGCGACCAUCAUGGGCAUUUCAAAGAGAGCCGCUUCCACCAUGGCAACACAGUGAAGGAGAUGAGUACAGGUCCAGCGGUGCUACGAAAGCGGGCGGACAGCUCUUCACCCAAUACGCAGGGAGACCAGGUCACCCUCAUCUGGACCCAGUUAAUGUGGAGGACCGCAAAACCCACAUGAAGAGAGUAGUUUGCCUCUGAGUCUUGGGUGGAUGGGGUAAUGUGGAUGGAAUAAAUGCUUCUCUUUUACUACCUCUCUUCUCUCUCUCUACCUCUCAAAAAUACAAAUGAAUGUACUGUAUGCUUUAUUGAG